AUUCUUUUGUGGUUCACAAGUAUGAUAAUUGGGGUUUUGCAAUACUGUAUGAGAUGUAUCGCUUUCAAACUUUGCUAUGAUGUCAGCACAUUGUCUGGUGUGAAA
rfam:Cavia porcellus supercont2_26 genomic scaffold, whole genome shotgun sequence.